UACGGAGGAUGCAAGCGUUAUCCGGAAUGAUUGGGCGUAAAGCGUCCGCAGGUGGCGAUGUAAGUCUGCUGUUAAAGAGUGAGGCUCAACCUCAUAAGAGCAGUGGAAACUACAUAGCUAGGGUGCGGUAGGGGCAGAGGGAAUUCCUGGUGUAGCGGUGAAAUGCGUAGAGAUCAGGAAGAACACCGGUGGCGAAAGCGCUCUGCUAGGCCGCAACUGACACUGAGGGACGAAAGCUAGGGGAGCGAAUGGG
rnacentral:rRNA from 1 species